rfam:Dipodomys ordii contig_25501, whole genome shotgun sequence.
GUGGCUCAGUGGUAGAGUGCUUGCCUUGCAUGCAAGAGGCCCUGGGUUCAAUUCCUCAGC